AAUAAUAUAUAUGUGGCAUUGUUGAUGCCAUUGUCAAUGUCAACUUCAAUGCCAUUGAAGUUGUUAAAAACUAAUAUUUUACAUUUUAAAUAUGUCUCUUUUGUUUGAUUUUUUUCUGUGUUUGAUUAUGAAACCCCAUCUACUAACAUAUUAAAACAGUGUACAAAAAGUGGUGUUACUAGAACUUAUAGUCUACGUAUGUAGAGCUUUCUAAUAUUCCAUGUUUCUGAGAUUUUUAAAGCAAUACAAGAUUGAAUUUAGCAGAAGGUUAAAUUUCUGCUCUUGAGACAAAAAAGGAAGACAGCAAAAAUGACCAGUCAAAAUAAAGAUUAAAGAGACAAAAAAUUGUGUUUAUCUUGGUGUAGAUGAUUUAUCUUCAUUUUGUUAUAAUAAAACAAAAAAUGUUAUUAAACUUUGGGAUUUACCUGUAACUCCAAACUCUUUACAGAAGUUCAAUGUUUGCUCUGAGAAGUUGAAUGAACAAAUUUAUUAAAUGGUAAAGUUGUAUCCUUGAAAGAUAUGCUGGUAUUAUUGACACAAUAGGCAAGCAUUGAAGUGCAACUUGGUGAAAUACAAAACACAUCAAAUUCAGUUAUAAAAAUUUGAGUAACUAGGGUCAAUUAUUUGGCACAAUUUGGAGUUAAAGACAAAGGAGAUUGUAUAUGUUAUUUACUAAGAAUUGUUUCUUAAAAUGGCAUAGCUGUAAAAUUAAACUAUACAGGGAGAGGACAAAAAAUUGGAAUAGGAAAAAUGUUGAUUGCAUAUGUUGCUAUUGAUAUUGGCAGGCUGUACUUGACGACAUCCAACUAUAAGCCAAUUUAAAGAGAUCCCUAAGUGCUAUAAAGAUAUGAUCUCAUAUGAAAGAGCAUAAAAAAAUAAAAUGUUUGA